AGAGCUUUACUGCAUAGCAGUUAAAGACGCGACUAUAAGGAAAGACGAAGUUUUAGUUUUAGUUGUCAAUUCAAGAUAUUUUUCGGUUGAUGAUCCGCCUAAUGGCGGGUCAUUCAAUUGAUAAAUAGGACAGUCUCAUAGCUCAGCUGGUUAGAGCGCUACACUGAUAAUGUAGAGGUCGGCAGUUCGAGUCUGCCUGAGACUACUACGCACCAAAAGGUGCGAAGUAUAUCCGCGAAGGCGGAUAUCUUUAGGAUUAAAGUCAUAGGCUUGGUUUUAAAGGAAGUUCAUAAACAAGUAUUGAAGGAAAUUUUAGAAGUUGGGUAACCCAGUUUGCAGUAAGCAGCAGCAGUUAGCAGUAAUUUAGACUGUGUACUGAAUACUGAAACUGCCUACUUUAUAAAUGGGGGAUUAGCUCAGCUGGCUAGAGCGCCUGCCUUGCACGCAGGAGGUCAUCGGUUCGACUCCGAUAUUCUCCACUUGUGCUGAACUUGUUUCAGCACCUCUUCGAUAAUUCACCUGCCAAGGUAGGAGGGUUAGAAGAAAGAGAUCCUGAGACAAGCUCAGGAUAAACGUUCAUUGACAUAUUGGGAAAUAAUAAGAAUACGAGAGAAACAAAUUUUAUAUAGUUAGAAAUAACUAAGUUAUAUUAUAGAUAGAACUCAUUAAUAAUACAAAAGGCCAAGGUAGCAAUACCAAGGUCCUUAUAAGAGCAAAAAGUA
rnacentral:tRNA from 1 species